UGCAUUGUCCGAUGCAGAAAUAACAACAAAGAUCCUUGAUGGUCUCGACCUAGAAUACAACUGUGUCGUUUUAGCGCUUGCGGCUCGGGUUGAACCAGUGUCUAUUCAAGAAUUGUACACCCAGCUCCUGAGCUGCGAUG
rfam:Hordeum vulgare subsp. vulgare, WGS project CAJW01000000 data, contig: morex_contig_74091